AUAACACUCGGGCACAACAGUCAUGGCAAGAACCACGAAGCGGUCGGACAGUUUUAAUUUUUCAGCGGCGGCUGUUGAGUGGUGGGGAGUUGGUGCUUGUGUAUUGGUGGGAAGUGGGGAGAAACGCCUCAAUUUUAUUUGUUUUCUUAUUUUGGACAAGCACCAAGUCACCCGACGCCAUUAUUAUGAGCCAUUCGUAUGAAAAUGUAGGACAACGCGUUGUACGCUACGUUUAAGUAACUACGUAGGUAUUCUGUUCAGGACCGGCUUCAGAUUGUGUUAAUCAAUGAUGCAAUGGCAAUUGCCAAUCCAUAAUUAUUGACAAUAUGAAUCCAGUGGCGAAGGAAACUUAACUAACACUCUUUGCUGAAAAUUUUGCGAACUGUUAUUGUAUGGCGGUGAAGACAUAACUAAGGUAAAAACGGAUAGUGGCUGACAAAAUAUCCACCUGUGACUGCUAAACGAAUUGAAAAUUAGAAAAAAGUGACGAGGAAUUGAUUAAAGUAAGUACUCGAGAAGUUUCUGUUGGUCACGAUCUGAAAUAAGAGCUUUUGAAAUAUUUAACUUGGUGGUUACCAGAAGACAGUGUUGCUGUGUUAAAUAAAAGUGCAUUGUAAUCUCAUGUAAAUGUAUCAGAUGUUUAAAAUACCACUGUUCAUUUUGUAAAUAAAAUUUCUCAAACAUGAAAAA